rnacentral:rRNA from 1 species
AGAGUUUGAUCCUGGCUCAGAAGGAACGCUGGCAGCGUGCAUAACACAUGCAAGUCGAACGAUGAAACAUUCUUCGGAAUGUGGAAGAGUGGCGAACGGGUGAGGAACACGUAAGAAUCUGCCCCUCGGUCGGGGACAACUCUUGGAAACGAGAGCUAAUACCCGAUACGCUGUGGAGUGAAAGAAUUUCGCCGAGGGAUGACCUUGCGUCUGAUUAGCUAGUUGGUGUGGUAAUGGCACACCAAGGCGACGAUCAGUAGCUGGUCUGAGAGGAUGAACAGCCACAUUGGAACUGAGACACGGUCCAAACUCCUACGGGAGGCAGCAGUGGGGAAUUUUCCGCAAUGGACGAAAGUCUGACGGAGCGACGCUGCGUGAAGGAUGACGGCCCGCGGGUUGUAAACUUCUUUUCUCGAAGAAGAAGCUCUGACGGUAUUCGAGGAAUAAGCAUCGGCUAACUCCGUGCCAGCAGCCGCGGUAAGACGGAGGAUGCAAGUGUUAUUCGGAAUGAUUGGGCGUAAAGAGUCUGUAGGCCGUAUGGAAAGUCUUUUGUUAAAUGCCUCGGCUCAACCGAGAUCCAGCAAAGGAAACUUCUAUACUUGAGGGAAGUAGAGGUACAGGGAAUUCCCGGUGGAGCGGUGAAAUGCGUAGAUAUCGGGAGGAACACCAAUAUGGCGAAGGCACUGUACUGGGCUUUACCUGACGCUGAGAGACGAAAGCUAAAGGAGUGAUUAGGAUUAGAUACCCUAGUAAUUUUAGCCGUAAACGAUGGAAACUCACUGCCGAGCGAAAUACAACGAGCGGUGGUCAAGCUAACGCGUGAAGUUUCCCGCCUGGGGAUUACGCUUGCAAAAGUGAAACUCAAAGGAAUUGACGG